rnacentral:snRNA from 1 species
AUCUUUGCACAGUGGCAGUAAUGUAGCCUGUGAGGUUGAACUGAGGCACGAUCAUUGCUAGUUGAAAACUUUUAAGCUUUCUCAAGGGUUUCUAAAAUAUUCAGGUCACAUGUAGCCAGUGA